rnacentral:lncRNA from 1 species
UCUUUGUCUUCAAGCUCCAAAUAAUUAGUAAGCACAGAUGACUGAAAAAAAUAAGAGGACAUGAAAGCAGUGAAAUAUUAGAAUUCAAUCAAGGGAUUUUUAUUUUUAUUUUUAUUUUUUUGUGUGUAUGUGUGUGGUAAAAAGGAUGUGGCAGCAUGUCUAUAGUUUUAUUAUGUUCUUUUGAGAAAGUACAUCCAUAUGGAUUAGCAUUUGCAAGAGUAUAUUGACAUGAUCAGCGUCUUCCACCUGAGUUGGGAGGUCCCAAGAGAUCAUGUAUCAAACCCCUGGUGGAGAACUGAUAUUAUUUGACUACCAAAUCCAUCAGAAAUUGGCAUCUUGCAUGGAACUUGAUUCUGCUCGUCCGAUGGUAAGGUAUAGAUAUCCUAUAAAUGAACUGUAGUGGAAGUAUUGUUGUUCCAACACAUAACAUCAUGUUGAAGAUUCCUUGGAAUAAAUAGGCAGUGAGGAAAUUAAAUGGACCAUAUCUGAAGGAGUGGUGGUAGUAGCUGUCUUUUUGAGUCAGUUACAACUUACAAGGUUGUAAGUAGUAAUUUCUCAAGGCACUCUUCCAAGAGGAACUUCACCUAUCAAGCCCCAAUACAGUCUUAGCUGCGCUGUCUUUUUGCCC